AACCAGUUAGCCUAGUGGUUAAGACUUUGGAUCGCCAAUCCGGAGAUGGCGGGUUCGAUUCCCGUUCCAGUCG
rnacentral:tRNA from 1 species